UUUGGUCUGCUGUAACUCUUUAUUUUACCAAUCAGAAGUGACAACUAAGAACAUCCACAACGUUUGGUACUGAAGUAAAAAAUGGAGACUCCUGUCUGAAGUAGGAGGGGUGCGAACAUCAUAAUGACAUAUACUGCCUUGCAGUCUUUAGGCAAGACAGCCUAAGAGCUGGCUUAGUCCUUAGGGAACAAAGCUGGUUCUUGCCCUAAGCAGCUGUGGUACUCUUAUUUGUGGCUUUAUGCUCAGCCAGCAGUCCAUGAGUAGUUUUAGCUAGAUCAGCUCCUAUGGAGAGAAAACAAUCCUAGCUUUACUUGAAAAAAAUACCAGUUUUGCAGAGAUUAUGUGGGAGGAAGGUCUUGGGAGUUCCACGGAACCAAAACUGAAACCUAAUAAAAUAUGAAGAAUAAACAACAUGAGAAGAGCAUUAUGCAAUUGUAUAAAGUCCUUUUAAGCCCUCUAUCUCAAAGAAUACAACAGAUAUGGAAGAGAUACAGAGAACAGCAGCAAGGCUGAUCAAAGUAUGAAAUGGAAGAGUUGAAUACACUGAGAUUCUUCAGUCAAGACUGACUGAGGAGGAUCUGACAGAGGUCUCUAAACCCCCAGUUCCUUGGAGAACAUGAAAUGGAAAACGUACAGUCACUCUGUACAACACUGUAGGCACCAAAAGAAAACAGGUGUCAGGUUCAGAACACAUGAAAUACAAUGAAGUCUGAGCAGUCCGUAAUGGGGCAAUAUGAAUGCUGUAAAUUUACAUAGAUUUGAAAAGUAAAAAAAACCAAAAAACAAAACAAAACAAAAAACCCAACAGAUGGAAACAUUUCUAGAAGGUCCUGCCAAGGCCUGUUACACACACAGAUGCCACAAGUUGCUAAAGAACAGAAAAUUCUCUGGGGCAAUACAAGUCCAUGUUUGCCACCUUUUUAUACGCUUCUUGUCUCUAAAAGCACAACACAGGCAAAGAAAAAGACGCCCCAACACAAAGCAGGCAAGGUGCCAUGUAUCCGGCACCUGCCAGUCAGGUCACUGCUGCAGCCCCGUUCUAAAGGGAGCCGCUACUUUCUCCCGUUCUCGUACGAGUUCUGGCGGUCCAUAAGGAUCCUCGCGGUCCAUAAGGAUCCUCGGGGUCCAAGACCACCGUGGUCAGUCUCCCUGAUAGCCGGGGCUCUCUCCAGGCCCCGCACCCGCGCACCCCGAAGGCCUUGGUCGGGCUAGCCCCGGCGGGCGGGAGCGUGGGGCGGCCCAGGCCACGCAGCCCCUCCCCGCGGGCGGUGCCGCGGAGUCCGCGCAGGUCCCGCCCGGCGCCGGGAGAGGGGGAACGGGGCGGCGAGCGCCAAGCCCGCCGCGGUUCCGGUUUCUUUCGCGGCCCGGCGCCGGCCCCAACCGAGGCGUACGAAGGCGCGGCUGGACGCCCCCUC
rnacentral:lncRNA from 1 species